GCCCAGGUGGUGAAAUUGGUAUACACGCGAGGUUUAGGACCUCGUGCCGCAAGGCGUGGAGGUUCGAGUCCUCUCCUGGGCACCA
rnacentral:tRNA from 1 species